rnacentral:rRNA from 1 species
UACGUAGGGGGGCAAGCGUUGUCCGGAAUCAUUGGGCGUAAAGAGCGUGUAGGCGGCCAGAUAAGUCCGCUGUGAAAUCUCGAGGCUCAACUUCGAGCUGUCGGUGGAAACUGUCUGGCUAGAGUCCGGAAGAGGAGAAUGGAAUUCCUGGUGUAGCGGUGAAAUGCGCAGAUAUCAGGAAGAACACCCGUGGCGAAGGCGGUUCUCUGGGACGGUACUGACGCUGAGGAGCGAAAGCGUGGGGAGCGAACAGG